AAAUAAUAUAAAAAAAUUUUUUUAUAAAAAUGCCCACCCCCCCACCAAGGCUCUGCCACACAAACACACACUGCACUCAUACACACACACUGCAUUCAUACACACACCCUGCAUUCAUACACACAGCACUCAUACACACACUGCACUCAUACACACACUGCAUUUAUGCACACACACUCUGCACUCAUAUACACACUGCACUUAUACACACACUGCAUUCAUACACACACUGCAUUCAUACACACACUGCAUUCAUACACACACCGCACUCAUACACACACCGCACUCAUACACAAACACCGCACUCAUACACACACACUGCAUUCAUACACACACACUGCAUUCAUCAUAUACACACACUGUAAAUAA